CAGGCUUAACACAUGCAAGUCGAACGGUGUAGCAAUACAGCAGUGGCAGACGGGUGAGUAACACGUGGGAACCUCCUAGAGGUACGGAACAACGCAGGGAAACUUGCGCUAAUACUGUAUACGCUCGUGAGAGGAAAGAUUUAUCGCCUUUAGACGGGCCCGCGUCGGAUUAGGUAGUUGGUGGGGUAACGGCCUACCAAGCCGACGAUCCGUAGCUGAUCUGAGAGGAUGAUCAGCCACACUGGGACUGAGACACGGCCCAGACUCCUACGGGAGGCAGCAGUGGGGAAUCUUGGACAAUGGGCGCAAGCCUGAUCCAGCCAUGCCGCGUGAGUGAAGAAGGCCUUAGGGUUGUAAAGCUCUUUUGCCAGGGACGAUAAUGACGGUACCUGGAGAAUAAGCCCCGGCAAACUUCGUGCCAGCAGCCGCGGUAAUACGAAGGGGGCUAGCGUUGUUCGGAAUUACUGGGCGUAAAGCGCACGUAGGCGGAUUGUUAAGUCAGGGGUGAAAUCCCGAGGCUCAACCUCGGAACUGCCUUUGAUACUGGCAAUCUAGAGACUGGAAGAGGUUAGUGGAAUUCCCAGUGUAGAGGUGAAAUUCGUAGAUAUUGGGAAGAACACCAGUGGCGAAGGCGGCUAACUGGUCCAGUACUGACGCUGAGGUGCGAAAGCGUGGGGAUCAAACAGGAUUAGAUACCCUGGUAGUCC
rnacentral:rRNA from 1 species